UUAAGCGACUAAGCGUACACGGUGGAUGCCCUGGCAGUCAGAGGCGAUGAAGGGCGUGCUAAUCUGCGAUAAGCGCCGGUAAGGUGAUAUGAACCGUUAUAACCGGCGAUACCCGAAUGGGGAAACCCAGUGUGAUUCGUCACACUAUCAUUAACUGAAUCCAUAGGUUAAUGAGGCGAACCGGGGGAACUGAAACAUCUAAGUACCCCGAGGAAAAGAAAUCAACCGAGAUUCCCCCAGUAGCGGCGAGCGAACGGGGAGGAGCCCAGAGCCUGAAUCAGCAUGUGUGUUAGUGGAAGCGUCUGGAAAGGCGCGCGAUACAGGGUGACAGCCCCGUACACAAAAGCGCAUGUGUUGUGAGCUCGAUGAGUAGGGCGGGACACGUGGUAUCCUGUCUGAAUAUGGGGGGACCAUCCUCCAAGGCUAAAUACUCCUGACUGACCGAUAGUGAACCAGUACCGUGAGGGAAAGGCGAAAAGAACCCCGGCGAGGGGAGUGAAAAAGAACCUGAAACCGUGUACGUACAAGCAGUGGGAGCACAGGUUUACCUGUGUGACUGCGUACCUUUUGUAUAAUGGGUCAGCGACUUAUAUUCUGUAGCAAGGUUAACCGUAUAGGGGAGCCGGAGGGAAACCGAGUCUUAAUUGGGCGUUAAGUUGCAGGGUAUAGACCCGAAACCCGGUGAUCUAGCCAUGGGCAGGUUGAAGGUUGGGUAACACUAACUGGAGGACCGAACCGACUAAUGUUGAAAAAUUAGCGGAUGACCUGUGGCUGGGGGUGAAAGGCCAAUCAAACCGGGAGAUAGCUGGUUCUCCCCGAAAGCUAUUUAGGUAGCGCCUCGUGAAUUCAUCUCCGGGGGUAGAGCACUGUUUCGGCUAGGGGGCCAUCCCGGCUUACCAACCCGAUGCAAACUGCGAAUACCGGAGAAUGUUAUCACGGGAGACACACGGCGGGUGCUAACGUCCGUCGUGAAGAGGGAAACAACCCAGACCGCCAGCUAAGGUCCCAAAGUCAUGGUUAAGUGGGAAACGAUGUGGGAAGGCCCAGACAGCCAGGAUGUUGGCUUAGAAGCAGCCAUCAUUUAAAGAAAGCGUAAUAGCUCACUGGUCGAGUCGGCCUGCGCGGAAGAUGUAACGGGGCUAAACCAUGCACCGAAGCUGCGGCAGCGACGCUUAUGCGUUGUUGGGUAGGGGAGCGUUCUGUAAGCCGUUGAAGGUGGCCUGUGAGGGUUGCUGGAGGUAUCAGAAGUGCGAAUGCUGACAUAAGUAACGAUAAAGCGGGUGAAAAGCCCGCUCGCCGGAAGACCAAGGGUUCCUGUCCAACGUUAAUCGGGGCAGGGUGAGUCGACCCCUAAGGCGAGGCCGAAAGGCGUAGUCGAUGGGAAACGGGUUAAUAUUCCCGUACUUGGUGUUACUGCGAAGGGGGGACGGAGAAGGCUAUGUUGGCCGGGCGACGGUUGUCCCGGUUUAAGCGUGUAGGUGUGUGUUCCAGGUAAAUCCGGUUCACUUUAACACUGAGGCGUGAUGACGAGGCACUACGGUGCUGAAGUAACAAAUGCCCUGCUUCCAGGAAAAGCCUCUAAGCAUCAGGUAACAUCAAAUCGUACCCCAAACCGACACAGGUGGUCAGGUAGAGAAUACCAAGGCGCUUGAGAGAACUCGGGUGAAGGAACUAGGCAAAAUGGUGCCGUAACUUCGGGAGAAGGCACGCUGAUAUGUAGGUGAAGCGGUUUACCCGUGGAGCUGAAAUCAGUCGAAGAUACCAGCUGGCUGCAACUGUUUAUUAAAAACACAGCACUGUGCAAACACGAAAGUGGACGUAUACGGUGUGACGCCUGCCCGGUGCCGGAAGGUUAAUUGAUGGGGUCAGCGCAAGCGAAGCUCCUGAUCGAAGCCCCGGUAAACGGCGGCCGUAACUAUAACGGUCCUAAGGUAGCGAAAUUCCUUGUCGGGUAAGUUCCGACCUGCACGAAUGGCGUAAUGAUGGCCAGGCUGUCUCCACCCGAGACUCAGUGAAAUUGAACUCGCUGUGAAGAUGCAGUGUACCCGCGGCAAGACGGAAAGACCCCGUGAACCUUUACUAUAGCUUGACACUGAACAUUGAGCCUUGAUGUGUAGGAUAGGUGGGAGGCUUUGAAGUGUGGACGCCAGUCUGCAUGGAGCCGACCUUGAAAUACCACCCUUUAAUGUUUGAUGUUCUAACGUGGACCCGUGAUCCGGGUUGCGGACAGUGUCUGGUGGGUAGUUUGACUGGGGCGGUCUCCUCCUAAAGAGUAACGGAGGAGCACGAAGGUUGGCUAAUCCUGGUCGGACAUCAGGAGGUUAGUGCAAUGGCAUAAGCCAGCUUGACUGCGAGCGUGACGGCGCGAGCAGGUGCGAAAGCAGGUCAUAGUGAUCCGGUGGUUCUGAAUGGAAGGGCCAUCGCUCAACGGAUAAAAGGUACUCCGGGGAUAACAGGCUGAUACCGCCCAAGAGUUCAUAUCGACGGCGGUGUUUGGCACCUCGAUGUCGGCUCAUCACAUCCUGGGGCUGAAGUAGGUCCCAAGGGUAUGGCUGUUCGCCAUUUAAAGUGGUACGCGAGCUGGGUUUAGAACGUCGUGAGACAGUUCGGUCCCUAUCUGCCGUGGGCGCUGGAGAACUGAGGGGGGCUGCUCCUAGUACGAGAGGACCGGAGUGGACGCAUCACUGGUGUUCGGGUUGUCAUGCCAAUGGCACUGCCCGGUAGCUAAAUGCGGAAGAGAUAAGUGCUGAAAGCAUCUAAGCACGAAACUUGCCCCGAGAUGAGUUCUCCCUGAGACUUAGAGUCUCCUGAAGGAACGUUGAAGACGACGACGUUGAUAGGCCGGGUGUGUAAGCGCAGCGAUGCGUUGAGCUAACCGGUACUAAUGAACCGUGAGGCUUAACCUU
rnacentral:rRNA from 1 species